GGGGGUGUAGCUCAGUGGUAGAGCAUUUUGACUGCAGAUCAAGAGGUCCUUGGUUUAAAUCCAGGCGCCCCUU
rnacentral:tRNA from 1 species